AUCAAGUCAAGUUUGGGAGUGUUACAGGAUGGAAGAGUCGGCCUGUAGUUGAAAAAACACUGAGAAUGCAUUACCAUUAAGGUAUAAGUUCUGUCACAGCUAGAUGCCUCAAAUAACUCUGCUUCUCUGGCUAAAGAACAACUUGUCGUUUACGUUCAGAGUGUUGGUGAAACUGGGUACUUAAAUGGCCCUAAAGAUGUUUCACUUCGCUGCGAUUGCGGCGAUGAACAUCAUAUAUGGAUGCUUUAGGUAUGAAAGGAAUUUGCUUCAAAUAAUUUUGAAUUUAUGAUGAAGCAUUUCUCCCCUUUUUGCCAACCAUGUCUAAUCUACAAAAAAAAAGUUUAUCCAAUAGGAAAGGAUUUUCAUAUACUGGGAACACUACUAUCAACAAUGCAACAUUCUAUGUGUGCUAGUUUAUCAUUCAAGAGCCUUGUGCAAUCAUGUUAAUCUGCAAUUUGUAUGCCAUUUCCGAAGCCUCCACCAGAAGUUAAUAGUAACAUUGGAUCUGAAAAGAUUCUUGGUUGGGGCAAGACACUGAAUAAAUUGUAAUAAUUGGAUGGAUGCCAUGACAUUUCUAUACUUCAUUCGGAUUCCCGACACGGUAUUUUAUAUUAAAAAAAUUGAAGUGCAUAUCUGGGCUCCCUUCUUUUCUGUGGCCCCGUUUCCCUUAAAUUUUUAAUAAGCCCGUAGGGGGUCAUGCCCCUACUGUACGGUAUAUAUAAAAACAACAUAUACCGAGGUUUGGAGGGCUCUGGCCGGAAAGGGGACGUGGGGUGUCCGCUUAGUCCGAUGAAGUCUUCACGGAGGGCGACGUGGCUGCCCACAAAUCCGAAUUAAUGGCUAAUCGCUCCUGUAAAAAUGUUCCAUAUCUUCGGCUCUUCUUCCGGCUUCUCUUAGCCAAUCACCGGGUAAUCUCCCCGGUGGGUCAACAAGGCAGUGUCUCCCCCUGCCUGGGUUGACGGCAACUUCUGAAAGGGCUGUUAUGCCUUUUUAGAGUUGCAAAAAAAAUUGUAA